CGCUAACUCGAAAUUUCGAGUUGUUAACUCAAAAUUUUGAGAAAAGUAAGUCAAACUUUCAAGCUACUUUUCUUGAAAUUUCAAGUUAAGUCAAAAUUUCGAGUUAAUAAGUUGAAAUUUCGAGAAAAUAACUCAAAAUUUUGAGUUAUGGAUGCUUUUUUUUUUUUGCUGGCGGAAACAGGCUUCCAUACACCUGUGACCUGAUGUUCGCAUUAAACACAAGAGACACUAAAAACACAUCAUGAAAAACAUAAUUUAAGCCAUACAACAGAAACAAACAAACAAAUAUAAGAAUGAACCCUUUCACGUAUAGUGGUCACUACAGUUACAGCUGUUCAUAGGCUGUUUUCUUGUAUUUGUGUCAGUGUUGAUGGUAAUCUUGCACAUAAACCACUAAACUGGACACUGAUGUGUCCAUACCAACCACCCACUGGUCGUCAUAAUUCAUGCAUGAAAGGGUUAAAAGACAAAUUAAACAUUAAGCGGCUAAGUUAGCUUGUGUACUUGUGUGGUUUUGUUAUGCUAACACCAGUAAGCAGUGUUACUUGCUUCACUUGUCAGUGGCUUAAAUGUUGUGGCUGACUGAUGUGUCUCAUGCAAUAGAGUGAAUACACACUCUGAGUCUCCAAAUAUGAAAACAUGUUACUGUUUCACAAACACACGAGUAAGCAAUGGGCUUCAGACUGAGCUGAUGUUAGGAAUAAAAGAGAAUUCAACAAGUUCAUUCUUAUCUUAAGAACCAGUGUUUCCAGUGUUUUUGCUGGUUUCAUCAUCUUCCAGUCAGGUUUACUUUAGCUCAAAGUUAAACACCUUAGAAACCACUUUUGCAGGACUUUUGUUUUGUGUGGAAACUUUAAAUCUACUGUGUUUAAAUGAAAUGCUGAUGUUCUUACAAACAGGGUAAUGUGUAAUGCUGUGUGACGGUUACUGUGUCUGUAUCUAGUCAGGUCCACACCUACUUAUUCACUGGUUUCAUUGUAGAAGUUAAGAAAUCAAAACUAUGUAGUCACACAGAUACCGAUGACAGACCGGGACACCAUUAUUGGUGUGCUGCUCAGGUUCAUGAGAUCAUACCUUGAAUAAUUUGAACAAAACUCUUCCAGCAGCUGAAACCUGUUAGAAUUCAUCAGGUGGAAAAACUCUAACUAAGGAAUCUAAAAUGCUUUGUUUACUCUUCCUGCAGGCUACAUCCAUGUGUUAUACUUUAUAUAUUUUGUAAGUCAAAAGUCUUCAGCUUUGUUGUACAUGAGUCUGAAAUAAGCAGGUGUGUCCAAACCUGUGACUGGUACUGUAUCAU
ensembl:lncRNA